CCAUUGCAGCAGUAACAUCAAUAGCUAGAAGCUGAGUUCCUUGCAAGACAUCCGUGCUAGUUUUCUUUAACUUGUCCAAUGAUUUUGCUAUGAUAUUUUCUUUCUUUUGAACUUGGACCAAUUGAGCACUUCCAGCAUCACCAAGAUAAUUAGCAGUGUCAUCAGUCUCUUUAGUUUCCUCCUCAUUUUCACAUUGAUCAGUGCUUCUUUGAACCCGUUUUUCUAGUUCAAUAAGCUCAUUUCGUAGGAGUUCGAAACGGAGAA
rnacentral:misc_RNA from 1 species